AAACGACUCUCGGCAACGGAUAUCUCGGCUCUUGCAUCGAUGAAGAACGUAGCGAAAUGCGAUACGUGGUGUGAAUUGCAGAAUCCCGUGAACCAUCGAGUUUUUGAACGCAAGUUGCGCCCAAGGCCUUUUGGUUGAGGGCACGUCUGCCUGGGUGUCACAC
rnacentral:rRNA from 5 species